AGUGAACGCUGGCGGUAGGCCUAACACAUGCCAGUCGAACGGCAGCACAGUAAGAGCUUGCUCUUACGGGUGGCGAGUGGCGGACGGGUGAGGAAUACAUCGGAAUCUACUUUUUCGUGGGGGAUAACGUAGGGAAACUACGCUAAUACCGCAUACGACCUACGGGUGAAAGCAGGGGAUCUUCGGACCUUGCGCGAUUGAAUGAGCCGAUGUCGGAUUAGCUAGUUGGCGGGGUAAAGGCCCACCAAGGCGACGAUCCGUAGCUGGUCUGAGAGGAUGAUCAGCCACACUGGAACUGAGACACGGUCCAGACUCCUACGGGAGGCAGCAGUGGGGAAUAUUGGACAAUGGGCGCAAGCCUGAUCCAGCCAUACCGCGUGGGUGAAGAAGGCCUUCGGGUUGUAAAGCCCUUUUGUUGGGAAAGAAAAGCAGCAGGUUAAUACCCCGCUGUUCUGACGGUACCCAAAGAAUAAGCACCGGCUAACUUCGUG
rnacentral:rRNA from 1 species